CCCCAGGUGGCUCAGUGGUAAAGAAUCUGCCUCCCAAGCAGGAGACGUGGGUUCGAUCCCUGGAUUGGGAA
rnacentral:tRNA from 1 species